UCCAGACUCCUACGGGAGGCAGCAGUAGGGAAUUUUGCGCAAUGGGCGAAAGCCUGACGCAGCAACGCCGCGUGAUCGAGACGCCCUUCGGGGUGUAAAGAUCUGUCAGUGGGGACGAAACUUGACGGUACCCACAGAGGAAGCACCGGCUAACUCCGUGCCAGCAGCCGCGGUAAUACGGAGGAUGCGAGCGUUAUCCGGAUUUAUUGGGUUUAAAGGGUGCGCAGGCGGCGAGUUAAGUCAGCGGUAAAUUUUGGGGGCUCACCCCCGACAAGCCGUUGAAACUGGCUUGCUAGAGUGGGCGAGAAGUAUGCGGAAUGCGUGGUGUAGCGGUGAAAUGCAUAGAUAUCACGCAGAACUCCGAUUGCGAAGGCAGCAUACCGGCGCCCAACUGACGCUCAGGCACGAAAGCGUGGGUAUCGAACAGGAUUAGAUACCCGUGUA
rnacentral:rRNA from 1 species